UACAACUUAGGAAUAACUUACACCCCGGGCAAAGCCAAUGUCAUGGCUGAUGCGCUAAGUCGUAAAUCUUAUUGUGACAACCUGAUGUUACAACAAAGUCAACCACUUCUCCAUGAGGAAUUUCGUAAGCUUAAUCUUCACAUUGUUCCUCGAGGAUUCCUAUCCACCCUGGUGGCAAAACCUACCCUUACGGAUCAGAUCAUCAAAGCACAGAAGGUAGAUCCGGGAAUCUCCCGUAUUAAGAGAAACAUUAAGAAAGGAGUGGCGAAUUGGUUCUCCGUUGAUGAUCAAGGUGUCGUAUACUUUGGAAGCCGCUUAGUGGUUCCAAAGGCACGAAACCUGAGGCGGCUGAUCCUUAAGGAAGCUCAUGAAUCCCCUCUCACCAUUCAUCCCGGUAGUACUAAAAUGUAUCAAGACCUACGCCAGAGGUUUUGGUGGACUAGGAUGAAGAGAGAAACCGCUCAAUACAUUGCUAAUUGCGACGUUUGUCGUCGUGUUAAAGCAGAGCAUCAACGGCCUGCUGGCACCCUUCAACCUUUGGCUAUUCCUGAGUGGAAAUGGGAUAAAAUCAGUAUGGAUUUCAUUACUGGGUUUCCUAGGACCAAGAGAGGGAAUAAUGUCAUCUUCGUCAUGAUCGACCGUCUUUCCAAAGUAGCCCAUUUCCUACCUGUUCGUGAGAGUAUCACCUCUAGCCAGCUAGCUGACUUAUACAUCUCCCGAAUAGUGUCUCUUCAUGGUGUUCCAUUGGAAAUUAACUCAGACCGUGGAAGUCUCUUCACCUCUCGAUUUUGGGAAAGUUUCCAAAAUGCUAUGGGAACUCGUCUCUCUUUUAGCACCGCCUUCCAUCCUCAAUCAAGUGGUCAAGUAGAGCGAGUCAAUCAAAUUCUGGAAGAUAUGCUCCGAGCUUCUGUCAUCUCAUUCGGAAUGGGUUGGGAGAAAUGCCUUCCAUUCGCAGAGUUUGCUUAUAACAAUAGUUAUCAAGCUAGCUUGGGCAAAGCUCCUUUCAAAGUUCUCUAUGGACGAAAAUGUCGAACGCCUCUUAACUGGUCAGAAACCGGGGAAAGACAACUCUUUGGCCCGGAUAUGAUUCAGGAAGCAGAAGAGCAGGUUCACGUUAUUCGUGAGAAAUUGAAAACAGCCCAAUCUCGUCAAAAGAGCCAAUAUGAUCGUAAACAUAAGCUCAUGACUUAUGAAGCCGGCGAGAAGGCUUAC
rnacentral:rRNA from 1 species